UGGGGAUCUGGGCACUUUCUCAUGCUCCUUGAGCUGCAAGUCAUAGAAGGAGUGGGGUGGGAGCUGGGAAUGUACCUUCCCAAGGCCACUGGCAGAACCAGCAGGCCCUUUGCUCUGGGAUGAGCUCCCUCUGAGGGGUGGGGACAGUAAAGCGGACCGAAGUCCCUGUUCUGCGGGAUGGAAACUGGCUCCCCUCCAUUGUACAGGCCAGCUCUGGGGAUUUGGGCAGCAGAUUUGGGGUUGACAGCAGAAUGACAUGAUCACCAGUUGACCUUGGCCAGGAUGCCAGCUUACUUUCUCGCUUACUUCUGCAGGUUCUUUGUUCUGCGGAAAAUAUUUAUGGCCAGGCAAGGUGGCUUACACCUGUAAUGCCAGCACUUUGGGAGGCUGAGGCAGGCGGAUCACCUGAGGUCGAGAGUUGGAGACCAGUGUGACCAACAUGGAGAAACCCCAUCUCUACUAAAAAUACAAAAUCAGCUGGGGGUGGUGGCGCAUGCCUGUAAUCCCAGCUACUCGGGAAGCUGAGGCAGGAGAAUCGCUUGAACCGGGGAGGCGGAGGUUGUGGUGAGCCGAGAUUGCACCAUUGCACUCCAGCCUGGCAACAAGG
rnacentral:lncRNA from 1 species